UGCAUCCCGGCCGGGCCGAACAAUCGGCACCUCUACAUUCGCGCUCGCCAGCGAGGUGGGCGUGUCCCGUGGAGGUUCCGACUCCGCUAUUGGACGAACGCUGAUUCCUUUCCUCCUCGACUUCCGCUCUCUGCACGCCCAACCAACCACGGAAUAAUGAUAAUAAUGAUCAAGAUGGCUACUACAGAAGUCUCUUUCUGUAGCUAAGCACCCAUUCCAUGGGAUCACUUAAAACUGCAAUUUAUGGUUCUUAAAGUCCCUCGGAGGCGACGGGGCUACGCCAAGGGUAAUACUAUAUGGAUUCAUUAAAGACUGAGAGGAAAUACUCGUAAUUGUAUCGCCUGUAGCGGUUAGUCAACGGAAGCUAGCUAGCAUAGUAACUAGCCAGCGGUUUCGCUGGCGACCAUCUCCGGCGUUCGUUGACCACCCGCGGGGGAGCGUGGCCCUGUUCCGUGUGUCAAAUGGCAGAACCGAGGAAAGUUGCUUUCGUCACCCUCUCGUCGUUCAGCACUUCCACUCCGGCGACCUCGGAGUUGGGCAAGAAACGCCGCCGCGAAGAUGAGGCCAUGACUUUAGGCAGAGACGGUGAAAUAAGUGCGGUCGGGUCAGACGGUGCUGGGGGUCUGUUUGGGACCGCGCCAGGGGAUGUCGCCGAGCCCGAGGAGGCGAGACCCACCGUUCGUCUCAACCUCUCGCUUUCCGAGCCAAGUGAACGUGGUUCUGCCGAGUUCAACUACAGCGAGAUGGUGGUCCCGACGACUCAACGUCAUUCUCAGGUACAACUAGCAGCACCUUCAACUGUCCCAAAAGGACUCGCACCCUCCCUGGACCCGAACGACCCACUUGCUGAUGAUGAGAGGGAGAGACGCGAGGUUGAAGAGUUGGCGAAGAAGUUUGAAAGUAAAUAUGGUGGCGCCUCCAAGAAGAAGAAAAAAGACAGGAUGCAGGAUCUCAUUGAUAUUGGUUAUGGGUAUGACGAGACCGACCCCUUUAUUGACAAUUCUGAAGCCUAUGAUGAGCUGGUUCCGGCUUCUCUGACAACCAAACACGGAGGCUUUUACAUUAACACAGGCACGCUCCAGUUUCGUGCCGCUUCUGACUCAGAAGGAGACGACAUGGAGAAUAAUCACAUAAAGAUAAAAGAUGGAGAAGAGCGAGUGAUUAAAAAGCGGAGGAAGAAGCAAGAUGGUCCAGUUUUGGAAGAGAAGAAACCCAGGAAAAAUAAAGUACCAAAGUCCGGAGUGUCGUCCUUGAAUCGACCAGAAAAGAAGAAGAGGAAAAAGCUCAUGAAAGAUUCCCUCCACCUGGCUAACAUGUUGCGACGCUUCACCAGGGAGAAGGAAGAGAUGCGAAAGAGGAACAUGGCUGGCGGUGGUUUGCCACGACCUCAAGCCAAAGUGCCCGGUCCUAACAGCACAGUCGUCAACAGCCAGCUCAAGGCUCCUGGUGGAAAUGACUGCAACAUGGCAGACUUGACGUCCGACCCAGCCGUGAUGUCACUACUCGGGUCAGCCAACAAUGACGUGUUGCAGGACAUGAUGGGCGAUUUGGACUUUGGGAUGCUGGACUCUUCGCAGCCCUCCAGUCCUACUCAGGGAGAGAAUGGCUCGUUUGGCACAGGCCAUAAGGCAGGCAUAGGCCGUAUGUCGCAGGGUAAUGUGAUGAGCCCUCCAUCGUUGCCCACUGGUCUCCCGGGCCCUCUCAUAAAGCGCAUUGAAGACCUCAGAGCGGCAUCCCGACAGUUCGAUGAAGAGGGCCGCAAGAAAUUUUUCACAAUGGACAUGAAUAACAUCCUACUUGAUAUUGAUUUGCAGGUUCAGGAGCAGUCUGCCGACGUUCGUUCAGCCGUGUACUCCCACUUGGAGGCCUUUGUUCCCUGUAAUAAAGAAGGUCUGCUCAAGCGCCUUAAGAAGCUGAGCCUCAACAUCCAGGACAACCGUCUCAGAACACCACUGCUCAAGCUGAAGCUGGCUGUGUGCAGUGUGAUGCCAGAGCAAAUUGCUCGGUACAACAUGGACUGCAUCGCUAAGGUGGCAAAACACCAGUCCGAGGAAGGAGAGAAAAAUGGUUCCGAGGAUGAUGACGAGGAGAAGCCAGGCAAGAGGGUAGUAGGGCCUCGAAAGAAGUUUGUCUGGGAUGACAAACUCAGGUCAUUGCUAUGCAACUUGGUGCGGGUGAAGCUGAGCUGUUAUGAGCUGGAGGGUAAGAACACGUCUCCCGAAGACUACCUCAAAGCCUUCAUGGAGACAGAAGUUAAACCUCUCUGGCCAAAAGGUUGGAUGCAGGCCAGAAUACUGUUUAAAGAGAGCAUCAUGGCUCACGGUCACCUCACUGGUUACAUAGCAAAGAAAAAGAUUAUCACCACACCGAAAGUCAAGCCAAAGGAGGCAGCGUGGGUUCAGCGGACCACACCCUCAGCAGGUGUCACUCCGUCCCCCGUUGGCCAGGUUGCUAAGCGACCAUCUCAGCCGCCGUCUGAGCCCAUAUGCCUCGAUUCCCUCGACGACGAUCUGGCAGUUCCCUCGCUGGACUCCAUCUCCCAGGCGCUUAUGAUCCUUGGCAAUGCCGCCAAGGGCCUAGCACAAGACGACAGCCCUCCCUCUCCAGAUAUCCCCAAGAGCGUUGCCAACCCCCCCUCGUCCCCUCAUGUCUCUGCGCUCGUCCAGCAGCAGCAGAAAAACAACUCCGUCAGCACGUCCAGUUCCAGCAACACUCGCUACACGUUUACCUCUUCGUCUCCCUCCACCCCUCUGUCUCGACCGUCCUCGCGCCCUUUCUCGCCUGUGUCUUCUGUUAGAGUGGAUGCGAUGGGGGUUGUGAAGGGACCGGGACAGAUACACAGACACUCCGUGCUGAACACUCAGAGACCCGUGGGGGUUGCUGUGCCUAAAGUCAAUUCUCCUGCAUCUGUUUCACCCCCUAAACCCCGCCCUCCACCUACUGCCUCACCCCUUGCACCUCCAGGAUCAAAAGUAGGGGUCUCCACUCCCCCUUCAAGCCUCAUUAAAUGCAACAUUAAUAAAGGAAUCAACAGUAAUGACCCCGUCAUCAUUACAUCGCCAUCUCGACCAACAGCCCAUCCGUCACCCGCACACAUGAGCCCCAAAACCUUCCUGGCGACACGCAUGCCGCUCACCCCACAGAGCAAAGCCUCUUCCGUGCCCCCGUCCCACCCGGGAGUUAAAACUACGCAACAGUCUGGUUUCAUCACCCCGAUGCACGCUACUCUCACUCAAUCGAGUCACUGCGGCAUCACCCCGAUUGUCAAACUCACACCUCGCACCCCCAACUCCGUCGUCACCACGUCUCCUCGCACCCUCAGCUCGACCGCCACUGCGUCUCCUCGGACCCCCAGCUCGACCGCCACCGCGUCUCCUCGGACCCUCAGCUCGACCGCCACCACCUCAUCUCGAAUCCUCAACUCGGCCGCCACGUCUCGACCCCUCAACUCAGCCGUCACCACCCCAUCUCGCACCCUCAACUCGGCCGCCUCGUCUCGCACCCUCAACUCGGCCGUCACGACCCCAUCUCGCAGCCUCAACUCAGUCAUCCCGACCCCGUCUCGUACUGUCAACUCAGUCGUCACCACCUCGAGUUCGCCCACCCCCUCCCAAAUCCCUCGGUCUCAGGUGACACCCCCAAUGCAGCAAUUCUCUUCCAAAAGCCCCGCAGGCUUUCGCCCGCCAUUCUCAGGUGCCUCAGCGGGAUCGGGCAAGGUGGGUCCAAGUGGUUACGCUCCUCCAGGCAACCAGAAGAGUUCAGUCGUCAUUAACAGCAGCACAACCAACAGUAGCCUUAACACUUCAUCCAUAACCAAGCAUUCAGGAACUGGCACCCCCCCAACGGUGCCCUCUGCCAACCAGAGCCAGCGGCAGAGGCCAGGGGGGGUGACGUCUCAGGGUAGCAAACCGGUGACGUCGGUCCCGUUGUCAUCAGCUUCUUCUCAGUUGCCACAGGUUGGCAUCGCCAGCAGGGGGCAGCGGUUUGCUGGGCUCCACCUCUUCUCUUCCUCUGGGCUUUGGGAUGUUGGGCGGUCUGGUUCCCGUGUCAUUUCCCUUACAGUUCCCGCCGCCGCUGCUCAACUUACCCCCGCUGGGCACCGCCGGCUCCAACACGCCGCCCAGUAGCUCCGCCCCCAGUAGUAAUGCGUCCUUCUCUACGUUGACACAGAAUCUGUAUAAGAGUCUCCAGUCAGGUUCUCAGGUUGCUCUGCCUCCUCACUUGCAGCUUGCUUUCUCAGAUGUUGCCCAAAGCCAGGGGGGAGAUGGCAAGAGGAAGACGCUAUGAUAGCAGCUGGACUUGCUUUUGGUGCCAGAUUGAGCAGACCACUUUUAAAAACAUUCAAGAUUUCAGGAUUUCUAAAAGGAAAAAAAAGUCAACAUUUUGAUAACUUUUCCACUCAACACAGCUAAAGAAAAUGAUAAAUACAACUUGUUUACAAGACAGACCUAUAUCACUGUGGAUGGAGAAGAAAUUUGUACGUUGAUAUAGGAUUGACGGUGUGCCUUCUGUACGUUUCCCUCUCAGAUGCAUGGUCAGUGUCUACAUGGUGCUCUUUUUAAAACGAUAAAUUAUCGCUGACAUUUGUAAGAAAUGUAAAAUGCGCAUGGCUGAAUUGGAGCCCCCCCCCAAACCCCAAGCUGAACACUUUUUUUUCUUUUACUUGAAUUCUUCAGUGAGUUCCAUUCUGUACAGUACUUCAACCUUUUAAUUAAAAUUUGUUCCCUUCA